GUCACUGUUAUGUAACCUAGGAACAAGAUACCAUUACUAUGUAUGCAGUCUGGGAGCUGAAUAUCAAGCUCUAGACCUACCUGUGAACAUUCAAACACUCAUUUCCAAACUGACAAAAAUGAUAUCUGCCUCUGAUGUUGCUCAAUUCGUUGACAGUUAUUGCCAUAUUCUCACUGUAUUGUGACAAUAAAUAAAAUAUAUAGUUGUGAUUCUCAAAAGUUUCUUUAAACUAUUCUUAGGCCAUAAUGUUUACAGGGAAAAAUUACAUGAAAAAAUACACUCAUAAAUGUUUGAAAAAUCUUGCACCAUAUACAACUUUAUAAAUUUGUCUUGUAAUAUUUAGGUUAUGUUUUAACUUCCUUAUUUUUUCCAGGGUGGGAGAACGAAUGUUCUCUGAAGAAAUCUGUAUGAUAUAGACUAGUGAAGGUAACUGGCCUGAACUACAGCUCUAGAGUCAUUUGGUUUCACCUUCAGGGAGCUAGGUGCUGGGACUAUGGAAACAAAUCUUUCAUUUCUAUGGGCCAUGGACUCAUAAUUAAUUUUGAGACAGCUUUUUCUUAAAGCGGGAUUUCAGUUGUAAUGCUGCCAUCAUAGUUCACAGGAGAGAAAUUCUUCAACUUUCUCUGGAGUCAGACUACAUGUAAUGAAGUUAUUCCCGAGGUGAUUAGUCAUUACAAAUUCAAGUUAUGAUAUGCUUUGGCUGUGUCCCCUCUCAAAUCGCAUCUUGAAUUUUAGUUCCCAUAAUCCCCACAUGUCAUGGGAGGAACCCAGUGGGAGGUAAUUUAAUCACAGGGGCGGUUACCCUCAUGCUGUUUUUGUGACAGUGAGUAAGUUCUCACGAGAUUUGAUGGUUAAGUGUUUUUCCCCCUUUGCUCAGCACUUCUCCUUGCUGCUGCCGUUUGAAGAAGGACGUGUUUGCUUCCCCUUCCACCAUGAUGAUGCUAAUGCCAGGGUGACCUCAGAAACCAGAAGACGAUGAUGUCACUGUCUCCAUCAGCCUGGAUGUCUGAAUAAAGGAGUGGAGCAGGGACUUCCUCCACCCCCA
rnacentral:lncRNA from 1 species